GACGAACGCUGGCGGCGUGAUUAACACAUGCCAGUCGAACGGAAAGGCCCCUUUGGGGGUCCUCGAGUGGCGAACGGGUGAGUAACACGUGAGUAACCUGCCCUUGACUUCGGGAUAACUUCAGGAAACUGGGGCUAAUACCGGAUAGGAAUCCUUGCUGCAUGGUGGGGGUUGGAAAGCUUAGGCGGUUUUGGAUGGACUCGCGGCUUAUCAGCUUGGUGGUGGGGUAGUGGCUUACCAAGGCUUUGGCGGGGAGCCGGCCUGAGAGGGCGACCGGCCACAGUGGGACUGAGAGACGGCCCAGACUCCGACGGGAGGCAGCAGUGGGGAAGAUUGCACAAGGGGCGGAAGCCGGAUGCAGCAACGCCGCGGGCGGGAUGACGGCCUUAGGGUUGUAAACCGCAUUCAGCAGGGGCGAAGCUUGUGGUGACGGUACCUGCAGAAGAAGCACCGGCUAACUACGUG
rnacentral:rRNA from 1 species